rnacentral:tRNA from 1 species
CGACUUCAGGUAUUCGCCGGCGAUCUUGCCGGCAUUGUAGUUGUCGGUGGUGGCCAACGCCGUUCGCCCGGUCCAGCCGGGGAUGUCGU